GAUGAACGCUGGCGGCGUGCCUAAUACAUGCAAGUCGAGCGAACAGACGAGUACCUUGCUCCUCUGACGUUACCGGCGGACGUGUGAGUAACACAUAGUUACCCUACCUAUAAGACUGGGAUAACUUCGGAAAACCGGAGCCACUAACUGAUAAUAUAUUCAACCGCAUGGUUCAAUAGUGACAGACGGUAUUGCUGUCACUUAUAGAUGGAUCCGCGCCGCAAUAGCUAGUUGGUAAGGUAACGGAUUACCAAGGCAACGAUGCGUAGCCGACCUGCCAGGGUGAGCGGCCACACUAGAAUUGAGACACGGUCCAGACUCCUAUGAGAGGCAUCACUAGGGCAUCUUACGGACUGGGCGAAAGGCUGGCCGGGCAUCGCCGAGUGAGUGAUAAGGGUCUGCGGAUCGUAAAUCUCUGCUAUUAGGGAAGAACAAAUGUCUAAGAAACGAUGCACUUCCUGACGGUACCUAAUCAGAAAGCCACGGCUAACUACGUG
rnacentral:rRNA from 1 species